GAUGAACGCUGGCGGCGUGCCUAAUACAUGCAAGUCGAGCGAAUGGAUUAAGAGCUUGCCCUUAUGAAGUUAGCGGCGGACGGGUGAGUAACACGUGGGUAACCUGCCCAUAAGACUGGGAUAACUCCGGGAAACCGGGGCCAAUACCGGAUAACAUUUUGAACCGCAUGGUUCGAAAUUGAAAGGCGGCUUCGGCUGUCACUUAUGGAUGGACCCGCGUCGCAUUAGCUAGUUGGUGAGGUAACGGCUCACCAAGGCAACGAUGCGUAGCCGACCUGAGAGGGUGAUCGGGCACACUGGGACUGAGACACGGCCCAGACUCCUACGGGAGGCAGCAGCAGGGAAUCUUCCGCAAUGGACGAAAGUCUGACGGAGCAACGCCGCGUGAGUGAUGAAGGCUUUCGGGUCGUAAAACUCUGUUGUUAGGGAAGAACAAGUGCUAGUUGAAUAAGCUGGCACCUUGACGGUACCUAACCAGAAAGCCACGGCUAACUACGUGCCAGCCGCCGCAGUAA
rnacentral:rRNA from 1 species